UUCUUUCACUUCAUGCGCACUUGCAUUACAUUUCUCUCAUUUCUCCUCCCCCAAACGGCGUCGUCUUACUGGCAGUGUGGUAGUGGCUUAAUCUUCUAGGGUUUUAUAUGUUCUUCGCAAUUUAUUAGUCUCACUGAUUCAACUACUGAUCUCUGAUCGACCACCUUUUCAUCCAUGAAAACCGACGAUUCCUAGCGUGUGCUUCCUUUUCAGCUUCAAUUCGACAAACCAGUCGCCUCUCAGAUAAAAAUUUCGGAAUGGAACCCCGAGAAGGAUUUGCUGGCCAUGGUUACGGUAGACUCCAAGAUUUUGCUGCAUCGUUUCAAUUGGCAGAGGUUGUGGACAACUUCUCCUGGAAGGUGCAUAACAUCAUUAUGUUGGCGACCUGACGGUAAAGCCAUAGCUGUUGGGCUUGAAGAUGGAACAGUACUCUCACUGCACGACGUUGAAGUUAGUAGCCUUACUUUAUUGU